GUUGUUCAUUCUUACUUGUUGAUCCACGCCGUUCAUUCUUCUCUCCGGGAGAUCUUUCCGAUUAUCUCGCUGUUCAUUACGAGCCUUUUCCUGUCGAAAUCUUCCAUGAGUUGUAGCAUUGGUAAUAGCUAAGCCUCAAGCUCCAUCAGGUUUGAUAUGUUAGAGUUCAUAAGAAGCUAUAGAGUUAGCUUUGCCUGGAUGUUGGCUAGCGCAACUUUAAGCCCCGUCAAGUCGACUUCUAGAUUUUUCUUUGGUGCCAUGUUCAACUCCUUGUUGCAGAAUUACUACUGUUUUUUUUAUAGCUUUGUGAGUAAAAUCUCUUGUAAAUGACUUUGAAAAGACGAAGAGUUGAGAAGAAUUGAAGACACGCGUCUGAUCGCUUGUGAACCGGAAAUGUAAAACAAAGUUAACACAUUUUGUACAAAUGUACGUUUAGAAACAGUUUGAAACAUAUAUUUUAUGUUUUACUUGGCAUAGGGGUGUGCUUGAAGUUUAAGGUAAUGCCUAUUCCUGGUUUGUUUUCAUAAUAUUUUUUUUUCAGUGUUUUGAAAGAUCCUUGAUGUUUAUUCUUUUAUCCCUUUAUCAUCAGAGCUCCAGUGUUUAUGUUCUUUCAUUUACUGUAACUUUUCAACCGUUAACACGAUCAUUCCAGUAGAUUGUGAAAGAGAAAACCGACUCGUCGAGGUUCUUUUCUCCUUCACAAUCUACUGGAAUGAUCGUGUUAACGGUUGAAAAGUUACCGUAUGUUAAAGAUUUUGUGUUUUAGCAUCACCGACAGGCGACACCUCAAGUGUUAAAGGGUUAAAGGAAGAUCUACUGCAAGAACUGGUUCCACAGCACUUUAGCUGUCAGCAAGUUAUCCAGUCAUCGAUGAUAAACACACAGCAACUUCUUUGUGACACGUUCCCUGCUUGUUUAUGUUCACGACUGACCUCUGCUCUCUUCAAGUGGACCGUAACCUCAUCUAAAAGUUGUUUGGUGAGUUUCUGACCCCACAAGGAGAAAGGGCUUCAGAGCAACUCCCGUCAGAUCUGCUCCAGCACUCUUACUGUUCAGUGAUAAGAUGAAGAGUCACAAAGAGAGAUAAACCUUUUUCAAGAUUCAAAAUCAGAAAACUAACAGUUUUUCGCAAAGACUUCUGGGAAAUUUCUAGUGCACUUGAUUUUGGAAUAGUAGAUUCAGACCGCACUAGAAAAUGGCGAACACACUAUAUAGUGAGAAUGGGGGGAUUCAGACAUAGCUACUGUCACCCUGCUUCUGCAGUCGUAACAUGCCUCUCCUCCAUUUGUUACUGUUGUGCAUUUCAGUCCUAAUUUCAAGGCCUUUCCGUCUGUCACCUGCUAAGCCUGGUUCACUGCUCUGAUUCCUGAUCGAUGGACCACACAAAGCUGCAGAGGGGAAACGGAUCAAGUCAAAAGACAGCAGGGAAGAUGCUCUGAACAUUUCCUCUUCUGUUCCCACCACCUUCCAGAAUGUGUUUGGACUCGUCUCUGGUAGUGAUCUCCAUUGAGACAGAGAGACUUUAACACUGAAGAAAGAAGAGGAAGACUUCUACAACCAGAACAUUCAUCUGUUUCUUCAGAAGGAGCAGCACAGACUUCAUUCAGAAGUAAAAAUUUAUCAACCAUUGCCAGUCUUGAUCAUGCCUUACCACACCAAUACCCUGACCUUUUCCAGCCCAUAAUCACAAGAUUGCCCCCAAGGAUUACUAGUGUGUGAUUACAAGGACUGUUCCCCACAUUCUGGAAGUUCUUAAGACACCAGCACCGCACCCCGGUCCACAGAAGCAAGAUGCCACCCAUGCAUCUUCCGAAUCCAUUUCAGGGUCAUGAAGCUGCUGGAGCCAAACCAACUAGAAGCAAUUUAAAAUCAGCAGUGAACCUAUGUAGCAUGUGUUUGGACUGAGGGAGAAAGCUGGAAAAAACCCUGACAUGCACGGGGAGAGCAUGCAAACUCUACACACAGGAAGGACCAGCUGGAAAAGGAACCAAGGCCUUCUUGCUGUGAGAGGGCUAACCACAACACCACCGUCCAGAGUCCAGGAAUGAGAUAUUCGUCAGGAAAAUCUCUUAGUUAUUGACUUCUUUACUUUUAGCUAGCUAGCACGGGUAAAAUAGACCACCAUUAAAGAGCGUACCUUUGCUGGCCUCUGGACUUCAGUGAGGUUAAAGAAGUUCUUAAUGACGUUCAUAAAAGCCUGAACUUCACCAACGGUGCAUUCAGUCUGCUGCUUGAAAGCUGGCCUCACACAAAGGAGGACCCCCUCUUUGUCAUUAUUGCUGCUUUUGUUGGAACUCCCCAACCUUUGUUACACAGCCAGGGAACAAGAUGGGUUUUGUAUGAUGGUUUCCACUCAUGUGGAGGGAAAAUAUGAACUCAAAAGAAAA